UCUUAUUUUUCACAUAGAAUAGGAAAGCCACCAUUUUGGUUUCUCUACGAUUGAUUUAAGCUAUCCUUAGUUGGUCAUUACCAACUUAGACUUUGAAUCCAAACUUUACGAUUGACUUAGAUACGUAUUGUGGAUCUAGGGACUUGUUGGAGAUUGACAAGAGGCUUGGCUUGUUCCAAGAAGAAGACCAGUUUUCUGUCCGCACCGCCAGUCGCUUGUUUCAAGAAAACAAGGAAUCCGUCUGGAAUGGACGGCAGUUUCUCAUCAGGUUAGUCGUCAAAGAUACUUCACUU